AGGGAAGAGCGCUUUUAUUAGUUGAAAACCAAGCGGGCUUCGGUCCGUGCACUUACUGGUGAUGACUCUGAAUAACUUUGUGCAGAGAGCACGGUCUCCGCACCGGCUCCGUAUCUUUCGAGUUUCUGCCUUAUCAUGCUGUGGAUUGUAGGCCAUGCGCCUACAGUGGCUGUUACGGGUGACGGAGAAUCAGGGUUCGAUUCCGGAGAGGGAGCCUGAGAAACGGCUACCACAUCCAAGGAAGGCAGCAGGCACGCAAAUUACCCAAUCCCAGCUCGGGGAGGUAGUGACGAAAAAUAACAAUGCGGGACUCUUCCGAGUCUGCGUAAUUGGAAUGAGCACACUUUAAAUCCUUUAGCAACAACCAAUUGGAGGGCAAGUCUGGUGCCAGCAGCCGCGGUAAUUCCAGCUCCAAUAG
rnacentral:rRNA from 1 species